CAGUCAGGGAGCCCAGUAGGAGGGGCCAGGAGCAGUCAGGGAGCCCAGUAGGAGGGGCCAGGAGCAGUCAGGGAGCCCAGUGGGAGGGGCCAGGAGCAGUCAGGGAGCUCAGUGGGAGGGGCCAGAAGUCAGGGAGCCCAGUGGGAGGGGCCAGGAAAGUCAGGGAGCCCAGUAGGAGGGGCCAGGAGCAGUCAGGGAGCCCAGUAGGAGGGGCCAGGAGCAGUCAGGGAGCCCAGUGGGAGGGGCCAGGAGCAGUCAGGGAGCUCAGUAGGAGGGGCCAGGAGCAGUCAGGGAGCCCAGUAGGAGGGGCCAGGAUCAGUCAGGGAGCUCAGUGGGAAGGGCCAGGAUCAGUCAGGGAGCUCAGUGGGAGGGGCCAGGAGUCAGGGAGCUCAGUGGGAGGGGCCAGGAGUCAGGGAGCUCAGUGGGAGGGGCCAGGAUCAGUCAGGGAGCCCAGUAGGAGGGGCCAGGAGCAGUCAGGGAGCCCAGUAGGAGGGGCCAGGAGCAGUCAGGGAGCCCAGUGGGAGGGGCCAGGAGUCAGGGAGCCCAGUGGGAGGGGCCAGGAGAGGUCAGGGAGCCCAGUAGGAGGGGCCAGGAGCAGUCAGGGAGCUCAGUGGGAGGGGCCAGGAGAGGUCAGGGAGCCCAGUGGGAGGGGCCAGGAGAGGUCAGGGAGCCCAGCCUGGGUGUCCAGGGCCAGAUGAAGGGAGGAUGCUGGGGCGGGGCCGG